ACAUCCCCGACCAUGAGGUCACUAAGCUACUCUCCUAUAAAAGAAGUGAAAGAGGGUGAGGAAGGAGAAUGUUCCAAUACAAAAACAAGUAGAGGGUGAGGCUGUUACAGUGAAAGAAGAAGAGAAAGACGUUUCAGUGAAAGAAGAGAAAGAUGCGUUCAGAGUGAAAGAGGAGGAGGAUGUUACAGUAAAAGAAGAGGAGUAUUCAGUUUGUGUAGUGGAAGAGAGGGAGAUGACUGUCACAUCGAAAAUGGAGGAGGAAGAAGAGGAGGGAACUGAAUAUCUGGGCCCGGUUUCCAAAGUGCAUCUUAAGACAUCCAAUGGUUCUAACGGUGAACUUAGCCAUAAGAUGGUUUUGAGAAACCGUUCCAUGAUUAACACUACCUUCCUCUCCUCUGAAGACCCAGUGAGGGUGGAGCUCAGUUGAGGGACUGGUUAGGAAGAACACUUCUACAGCCAGAGAGAUUGCUGAUGCAUAUUCGGUGGCCUGACUGCAUCCAGACAAUGUCAAAAGCCCAUCCUAGUAGAUCUGAACCUAAUGCAGCUUGGAGUGAUCGGGUGACAGACGUCACAUUUAGGGGCAGUCAAAAGCAGAGCUGUGGGAGACCACCUCAAUCCCCUGGUAGAGCCGGGGGUGGUGUUUACCACUCAACCACACCUGCAGCAGGCUUGAAACGUGGGAUUGAUACUGAUUUUCAUACUAAGAAGGACCAAGAGUCUGUUGAUUGGUCAGUCAUUGGGUUCAUUUGUUGAAAUCAAAUCCAGCUUUAUUUAUACAGCACAUUUCAGACAUGGAUGCAACACAAUGGCUUCACAGGAAAAAAAAGUUAAAUAAUGAAAAGAAACAGAAAUAUUUAGUACACAACAAACAGAAUACUAACAACUGAAAGACCAAUGGGCACCCCAAGGAAAUGCCAUGGAUUAAAAUAUUAAUUGGAUGCAAUAUCUAACCCAAAAUACAAGCUUGUUGUUUUUUUAGGAGGGGCUCAGAAAGACUAUGGGAGUGUCCACUGAAACUUGACAAGUAACAACAACUGGGACCGAAAAGACACCCACCAUGAGACCCACUAAAUCUGUCCAUGAAGAGGCAAACAAAAGAAAAACCCACAACAAACUUAAAGACAGGACGCAAACCAAAAAGGUGGUUCAACUAACAGUGUUGACUCUCCACAUCUAUCAAGACAACUGGAGCACUGGGCCAGACACUCUUUCAUAGAACAUUUGUGCCAAGAGGAGAGAGAUGAGGUUCCACGUCCUGUUAAAACGAACAGCUUAAAAACCACACGGAAUCUGGGAAUAAUGUGUACAUCACUGGUUAGAAGCCAAUUUGUAGAUAACAGCUCGAUACAUUUUGAAGUGUUGCAUUUUGAUUCAAGUGGGUCACCAACAUGGUAAGUGGAACACAACUUUUUUGUGUUAGUCACUUUUUGUUAAAUCUCAUAAAUAGUACUCUUUCAAUUCAGAGUCUGGAUCUUUCCCCUGAAGCUAAUAUCCAUAUCAUGCUGAAAUCAAUAGAACAGGGGGCAAAUGUUUAGGCUUCUACAUUGUGACAUUAUUAAAAUACUUCUACUACAAUGUUUAAUAUUCUAUAUUGUGACAUUGAUUCAUUUAUAUCAUGAAACAACUCCAUGUAUUUUCUGAUGUUUAAUCAGAGAUCUUUUUUCAGAGUAUCUCUUGUCACAUUGAUUACAGCUAUGUGAUUUCUCUCUUGUGUGUGUUCUCUGGUGUAUAGUUAGAUAGCUCGAUGUCGUAAAAAUCUUCCUACAUUGAGCACAGCUAUAAGGUUUCUCUACGUGUGUUCUCUGGUGUGGCACUAGGUUGUUUAGCCAAGUAAAACUCUUCCCACAUUGAGUACAGCUAUAAGAUUUAUCUCCUGUGUGUGUUCUUUGGUGUCUCGUCCGACUGCUAGACAUAUUAAAAC